GACGAACGCUGGCGGCGUGCUUAACACAUGCAAGUCGAACGCAGUGGCGAACGGGUGAGUAAUACGUGGUUAACCUGCCCUCCUCUAUGGGAUAAGCCUUGGAAACGGUGUGUAAUACCUAAUACACGGGGAUGGGCUCUCGGUCUAUGAGCUUGUUGGUGGGGUGAUGGCCUACCAAGGCGGUGACGGGUAGACGGCCUGAGAGGGUGAAUUGGCACAUAGGGACGGGGAUAAGGCCCAGGUGAGGAAGGAGGGGAGCAGUGGGGGAUAUUGAACAAAGGGCGAAAGACUGAUGCAGCGAGGCGGCGUGGGGGAUGAAGGCUUUAGAGUUGUAAACCUCUUGCGCGAUCGAAGGGGUAGGUGGAGAAGAAGCGCCGGCUAACUACGUGCCAGCAGCCGCGGUAAUUC
rnacentral:rRNA from 1 species